UACGUAGGGUGCAAGCGUUGUCCGGAAUUAUUGGGCGUAAAGAGCUCGUAGGCGGUCUGUCGCGUCGGCUGUGAAAUCCCGAGGCUCAACCUCGGGUCUGCAGUCGAUACGGGGCAAACUAGAGUAUUGCAGGGGAGACUGGAAUUCCUGGUGUAGCGGUGAAAUGCGCAGAUAUCAGGAGGAACACCGGUGGCGAAGGCGGGGUCUCUGGGGCCGAUACUGACGUGAGGAGCGAAAAGCGUGGGGGAGCGAACAGG
rnacentral:rRNA from 1 species